rnacentral:rRNA from 1 species
GACGAACGCUGGCUUGCUUAACACCUGCCAGUCGAACGGAAAGGCCCUGCUUUUGUGGGGUGCUCGAGUGGCGAACGGGUGAGUAACACGUGAGUAACCUGCCCUUGACUUUGGGAUAACUUCAGGAAACUGGGGCUAAUACCGGAUAGGAGCUCCUGCUGCAUGGUGGGGGUUGGAAAGUUUCGGCGGUUGGGGAUGGACUCGCGGCUUAUCAGCUUGUUGGUGGGGUAGUGGCUUACCAAGGCUUUGACGGGUAGCCGGCCUGAGAGGGUGACCGGCCACAUUGGGACUGAGAUACGGCCCAGACUCCUACGGGAGGCAGCAGUGGGGAAUAUUGCACAAUGGGCGGAAGCCUGAUGCAGCAACGCCGCGUGCGGGAUGACGGCCUUCGGGUUGUAAACCGCUUUCGCCUGUGACGAAGCGUGAGUGACGGUAAUGGGUAAAGAAGCACCGGCUAACUACGUG